ACUUGUGGCUAUACCACCAUGACUGCCUGAACUCAACUGACCUCAGAAUUUGAGCAGGAUUGGGCCUGGUUAGUACUCGGAUGGGAGAUACGAUGACUUAUCUGAGUUCAAUCGCUAAGUA
rnacentral:rRNA from 1 species